CUUCCUUCCCCAUUCUUGUGUACCCUUAUUGAAUUGAAGCAUCCAAAGUGAAACAGGUCAAUGUUGCAUGCAAUCUCUGUUCCAAACACUUGCACUUCGUAUCC